UCUAAUAUGGCAGAUUAGUGCAAUGGAUUUAAACCCCAUAAAUAAAGUUUCAUCUUUUUUUAGAA
rnacentral:tRNA from 1 species